CCUUUCUUGGCAUCUACGCCUGUCGUAUAGUGGUCCCGCGAGGCCAACACCCCGCCUCAACGCUCGGAGGCAAACACCCAUCGGGCCACUCGUGAGUUAGCCGCCUCGCAUAUAGAGAGGACCUCACCUGUCACUCCCUUCCCCUUUUUUAUGGUUACAGUCACCGAGAGGCCAACAUCCUGCCACUACGUUUGGUGGCCACAAAAAUCCCCUCGCGCCAUUG